rnacentral:misc_RNA from 1 species
AAGUCGUAACAAGGUUUCCGUAGGUGAACCUGCGGAAGGAUCAUUAAAAGAGAAGUCGCCCCGGGGCCCUAAAAAAGCCCCUGGGGUAACAAAUCUCCACCCCUUGCUUGUUAUACCAAACUGUUGCUUUCGCGGGACAGCUGGAGGCUCUCGUGGCCUUCCCGCCGGCCUUUAAUCUUUUCCCCCCGGGGGAGAGGUUGGGCUGGUGCCGCCCGCGAACGGCCAAAAUUAUAAAACCUUGAAGUAAACAUUGAAGUCUGAUUUUUAUACUAUGAAAAUAGCCUAAAACUUUCAACAACGGAUCUCUUGGUUCUG